rnacentral:tRNA from 1 species
GAUGACUGAAUAGCAAGUACUGGCC